UACGUAGGUGGCAAGCGUUGUCCGGAUUUACUGGGUGUAAAGGGCGUGCAGCCGGAGAGACAAGUCAGAUGUGAAAUCCACGGGCUCAACCCGUGAACUGCAUUUGAACUGUUUCCCUUGAGUGUCGGAGAGGUAAUCGGAAUUCCUUGUGUAGCGGUGAAAUGCGUAGAUAUAAGGAAGAACACCAGUGGCGAAGGCGGAUUACUGGACGAUAACUGACGCUGAAGCACGAAGCGUGGGUAUCGAACAGG
rnacentral:rRNA from 1 species